rnacentral:rRNA from 1 species
GACGAACGCUGGCGGCGUGCUUAACACAUGCAAGUCGAACGGUAAGGCCCUUCGGGGUACACGAGUGGCGAACGGGUGAGUAACACGUGGGUGAUCUGCCCUGCACUUCGGGAUAAGCCUGGGAAACUGGGUCUAAUACCGGAUAGGACCCUGGGAUGCAUGUCCUGGGGUGGAAAGCUUUUGCGGUGUGGGAUGGGCUCGCGGCCUAUCAGCUUGUUGGUGGGGUGAUGGCCUACCAAGGCGACGACGGGUAGCCGGCCUGAGAGGGUGACCGGGCACACUGGGACUGAGAUACGGCCCAGACUCCUACGGGAGGCAGCAGUGGGGAAUAUUGCACAAUGGGCGCAAGCCUGAUGCAGCGGCGCCGCGUGAGGGAUGACGGCCUUCGGGUUGUAAACCUCUUUCAGCACAGACGAAGCGCAAGUGACGGUAUGUGCAGAAGAAGGACCGGCCAACUACGUGCCAGCAGCCGCCGCCG